GGUUGUAUAGCUUAUAUAGAGUGUGGCAGUGAAGUUGCUAAAGAGUUAAUGAUUAACUAUGACCA
rnacentral:tRNA from 1 species